UGCGGGGUCAUAUAGUCCGGUAGUAUGCGACACUCUGAAUGUCGUCACCUAGGUUCGAAUCCUAGCCCCGCAG
rfam:Candidatus Roizmanbacteria bacterium RIFCSPHIGHO2_12_FTLL_41_11 rifcsphigho2_12_scaffold_45080, whole genome shotgun sequence.